GCACAAAAAAGUUAGCGAUAUGCUAGACAUUAUCCAAAAUGUUUUAACUGAACGGUCCAUCAUUCUCUUUGGCUGAUGCAAGCACCACCAUAAAGCUCCUGCAAAAACCGAAGUAAAAAGCAAGAUCCCAACAGCAAAAAUAUUAUAAGAAUCAAGCCCGGUAUAAGCUUGCGAUAAAUCGACUGUUGCAAGGGAGUUCGAAUUUCCUAAAGAAAAGAAAGCAACCUGCUCAGCAACAUAAUACAUAACUGAAGCCAAGGUACCUUCUUCCGGCAUGGUUCGUUGCCAUAUAUCAUAAAGUAAAUACAAACCCAUGUUUUCUAAUCGAGUUAAGAGGAGAAUGAAUAGAGAAAGCUGGCAUCGCAAUUGUUUAAAAGUAGGUUUCGAGAGAAAACUUAUUAGCAAAAGGCUCCAGAUGAUUCUUACAAAAAAUGUGUAGUCAAAUGAAGCGAUAAUAGGCAACUCAUUUAAAUGUUUAGAAAUUAUAGGCAUCAACUUGUAAAAUGCUAUAAACAUUGAUGAUAGAAAGUUUAUUGGAGAAGGACUUCGUAUAGCAGGCAUAAAAGCACUCGUAACACACAAGAUGGUUUUCAUGAAGGUACUGGGUGCGAUGAAAUCGUCAACUAUAUCACGUAAAUCUGAAUAUUUUUGACCAGUCUGAUUCCAUCUUUUUAUAAUUGAUAGACAAAAUAGUUGCAAAGAACCAGCCAACCUUGUUUUAGGAUUC